CCCUUAGAUGUCCGGGGCCGCACGCGCGCUACACUGAAGGAAUCAGCGUGGCUUUCUCCCUGACCCGAAAGGGUUGGGAAACCCGUUGAAUCUCCUUCGUGAUAGGGAUUGGGGCUUGAAAUUGUUCCCCAUGAACGAGGAAUUCCCAGUAAGCGCGAGUCAUAAGCUCGCGUUGAUUACGUCCCUGCCCUUUGUACACACCGCCCGUCGCUACUACCGAUUGAACGGUUUAGUGAGGGCCUCGGAUUGGUCUCGGCCCGCUCUUUACCGGGCGGCGCCGUUGGUCGAGAAGACGCUCGAACUUGAUCGUUUAGAGGAAGUAAAAGUAGUAACA
rnacentral:rRNA from 1 species